AUUAUGUAAAGGCAAACCUUCCGAAAGGUUGGGACGCAAAGCUUCAGGUCUAAGGUUUUUUACUAUGACAGCUGGGCUACCAUA
rnacentral:ncRNA from 1 species